rnacentral:rRNA from 1 species
UGCCNNNGUCGACGAUUCCUACGGGAGGCAGCAGUGGGGAAUAUUGGACAAUGGGCGAAAGCCUGAUCCAGCAAUGCCGCGUGAGUGAAGAAGGCCUUAGGGUUGUAAAGCUCUUUCACCCGCGACGAUGAUGACGGUAGCGGGAGAAGAAGCCCCGGCUAAUUCCGUGCCAGCAGCCGCGGUAAUACGGAAGGGGCUAGCGUUGUUCGGAAUCACUGGGCGUAAAGCGCGCGUAGGCGGCCGGUCAAGUGCGGCGUGAAAGUCCUGGGCUCAACCCGGGGACGGCGCUGCGGACUGUCCGGCUGGAGUCCGGAAGAGGGUGGUGGAAUUCCGAGUGUAGAGGUGAAAUUCGUAGAUAUUCGGAGGAACACCGGUGGCGAAGGCGGCCACCUGGUCCGGUACUGACGCUCAAGCGCGAAAGCGUGGGGAGCAAACAGGAUUAGAUACCCUGGUAGUCCACGCCGUAAACGAUGGGUGCUAGAUGUCGGGGGGCUUGCCCUUCGGUGUCGUAGCUAACGCGUUAAGCACCCCGCCUGGGGAGUACGGCCGCAAGGUUAAAACUCAAAGGAAUUGACGG